rnacentral:rRNA from 1 species
AACGUAGGAGGCUAGCGUUAUCCGGAUUCACUGGGCGUAAAGCGCGUGUAGGCGGCUCGGUAAGUCGGGCGUGAAAUCUCCUGGCUCAACUGGGAGAGGCCGUCCGAAACUACCGGGCUCGAGGGCAGUAGAGGGAGGUGGAAUUCCGGGUGUAGCGGUGAAAUGCGUAGAUAUCCGGAGGAACACCUGUGGCGAAAGCGGCCUCCUGGACUGUCCCUGACGCUCAGACGCGAAAGCUAGGGGAGCGAACGGG